UAACUCUCUCUUCUCUCCCUCUCUCUCUCUCUCUCUCUCUCUCUGUGACGCAGCUCGCCCCUGCAGCGAUCUUCGUCAAAGCAUCCCACGAAACAUCGUGUUUCCUCUCUUUAAUUUCACUUCAUUUUUAGUUCUUGUUUGUUAUCUUCGAUCUAACGCUUCGCUUCCAGAUCUUGCGUGUUUUUUGUUUUUCUCCUGUGGCUAUUGCAGGUCUUCUCCAUCCAUAUUAUGGAGGCCGGGUCAGCCAACUCUUCUUCAGCAGGAAAAACAAGAUCGCGUUAUCCACUUCAAGAACAGCUUCUUCAGAGGAGAAGCUCUAGGGAAAAUUUGGAUAGAUUCAUACCGAACCGAUCUGCGAUGGAUUUCGAUUACGCGCAUUAUAUGCUGACUGAAGGGCGGAAAGGUAAGGAGAAUCCAGCUGUGAGCUCUCCUUCCAGGGAGGCGUACAGGAAGCAACUUGCAGAAACCUUCAACAUGAACCGAACCCGAAUCCUGGCUUUUAAGAACAAGCCGCCCACCCCUUCGGAAGCCAUUCCAAACGAGUUCUCUACCAUUCACCAAUCCAAACCCACAAAGUCCCGUAGAUACAUUCCUCAGACUUCUGAGAGGACAUUAGAUGCUCCGGAUCUGGUGGAUGAUUACUACUUGAAUUUAUUGGACUGGGGUAGUAGCAAUGUUCUUGCUAUUGCGCUUGGAAGCACUGUAUAUCUAUGGGAUGCCACUGAUGGCGCCACCUCGGAACUUGUCACCAUUGACGAUGAAAAUGGUCCGGUGACCAGUGUCAAAUGGGCUCCCGAUGGAAGACAUAUAGCCAUUGGCUUGAACAACUCUGAUGUCCAGCUCUGGGAUUCCACAUCUAACCGACAGCUAAGAACCUUGAGAGGUGGCCACCAAUCCAGAGUCGGGUCCUUGGACUGGAACAGUCACAUUCUGACAACCGGAGGAAUGGAUGGUCAGAUCAUCAACAACGAUGUAAGAAUCCGAGCUCAUAUAGUCGAAACCUACAGAGGACACCAGCAAGAAGUCUGUGGGCUAAAAUGGUCAGCCUCAGGCCAACAGUUAGCCAGUGGAGGAAAUGACAAUAUCCUGCACAUAUGGGACAGAUCCGUGGCUUCUUCCAAUUCGGCGACCCAAUGGCUUCACAGGCUUGAAGACCACAGAGCUGCUGUUAAAGCCCUUGCUUGGUGCCCUUUCCAGGGUAACUUGUUGGCCUCUGGUGGAGGUGGAGGUGACAGGUGCAUUAAGUUCUGGAACACCCACACAGGGGCAUGCUUGAACUCCGUUGACACAGGCUCACAGGUCUGUGCUCUGCUAUGGAAUAAGAAUGAGCGUGAGCUGCUUAGCUCCCAUGGGUUUACUCAGAAUCAGCUCACUCUUUGGAAGUACCCAUCUAUGGUGAAAGUAGCAGAGCUCACUGGCCAUACAUCCAGAGUCCUUUUCAUGGCUCAGAGCCCGGAUGGAUGCGCUGUAGCGUCUGCUGCUGGAGACGAAACUCUGAGAUUUUGGAAUGUCUUUGGGGCUCCUGAAGUGGCAAAACCUGCACCAAAGGCAAAUCCCGAGCCGUUUGCUCACUUGAACCGCAUUCGUUGAGUCGCAUCGGUCGGCGCAUUUGGGUUCUCGGGUUCAAAGAACAUGGGUGGGUGAUGUCAAACUUAGCCAAGUUUUAAGGUGAUGGGAAAUGCAGCCUCACUGUAGUAAUGCCACUUUUGAGUUCGAAAUUGAAGAGGGGCCAUGACACAAGGACCCAUCUAUUGUUGUACAGUGUUCAUGUUAAAGGAAAUGCCAUAAUUCUUGCCUUUUUUUCCUGUGG